GUGGGGAAUUUUGGACAAUGGGCGCAAGCCUGAUCCAGCAAUGCCGCGUGUGUGAAGAAGGUCUUCGGAUUGUAAAGCACUUUAAGUUGGGAGGAAGGGCAGUAAGUUAAUACCUUGCUGUUUUGACGUUACCAACAGAAUAAGCACCGGCUAACUUCGUGCCAGCAGCCGCGGUAAUACGAAGGGUGCAAGCGUUAAUCGGAAUUACUGGGCGUAAAGCGCGCGUAGGUGGUUCAGCAAGUUGGAGGUGAAAUCCCCGGGCUCAACCUGGGAACUGCCUCCAAAACUACUGAGCUAGAGUACGGUAGAGGGUAGUGGAAUUUCCUGUGUAGCGGUGAAAUGCGUAGAUAUAGGAAGGAACACCAGUGGCGAAGGCGACUACCUGGACUGAUACUGACACUGAGGUGCGAAAGCGUGGGGAGCAAACAGGAUUAGAUACCCGUGUAGUCC
rnacentral:rRNA from 1 species